GGGGCCUGCGGUGAUUGGCGGGCGGGCGGGGAGGUCGGAAGUACUUUGUUUUUUAUGCUAAUGAGGGAGUGGGGCUUGUCCGUAUUUACGUUGAGGCGGGAGCCGCCGCCCUUCAUUCACCCACAUGGUCCUUCGAGGUGCCGCCGCAGCCGCCCGACCUGCGCCUUCGCGCCACUUCGCGCCCUCGGGCGAGGCCGAGGGGGUGGGGACGCCCCCUGCCGCGCCGCCGCGGCUCGCGCCCCUCGCGAAGCCCCUCGGCGGGGCGGGCCGGCCGGCGGGCCGCACCCCCGGCCUGGGGCCUCGGGUCGUAGUAAAGCGGAGGCGGGUGGGGAGGCGGGAGCGAGAGCCCGCGGCGGGCGAGGCGAAGAUGGUGGCGGCUACUCCUCUUGUCAUACACGUGGACCUAACUUCACCAAAAGCUUUUCUAAGGAUACUUGCUGAGAAGGAAGUUUACCUGAAUGGGUAAGUGGAUUUUAAUUUUAUUUUGUUAACUUCUUUAAAAUAAAAAAAAAAAAAGUUUUUCUUGACUUAAUCUUCGAUUUGGAUAAAUAAGUGCGGUUGGGUUUACAAAGAGAGAAAUAGGUGUUUUGUACUCUUUCUAGACAAUUAACUUAGUAUAGGUCAGCUAACAUCUAAGUAAAAAUGCAAUGCAAAUAUGUUAUAAAUCUUUGCAAGCUGGUGCACAGUUUACAAAAUUUAGAACUAGUUAAAGUUGGGGUGACAAAAUAGAUGUAAUCUGGAGUAAGUUUUCAAGGCUUAAAAUAGUUUAAUUGGGACAUAAAACUUCUACAACCAGCUGAUAACACUUGAAAUGUAGUCUGAACUGUAAUUUUAUUAAUCAAUUUACCAAGUAAUUGCUAAUGGGAAGCCGGAAGAAAAGAAAAAUGUUUUGCCACGUGGAUGUGAAGAUUUCCUCUAAAAGGUAUAUGCAGUCUGGUUUUUUUUUUUCUUUUAAAGUAUGCAUUUGGGAGUGGCCAAGUCAAGAAAGCCACCAUUUUUUUCUUAAAGUAUUAGAAUAGGUAGGUAGUUAUGAUUGUCUUGUG
rnacentral:lncRNA from 1 species